AUCUGGUGAGAAUCUUUUCUACUCUAACAUCAUGAAUGGAAUCAAGUGUUGCAUAUAAGAUCCUUCCUCAAGAUCUGAGAAAACCUACUAAUAGUUGGUACCAAAGGAGUUUCUAUUUUUAUUCAGAUCAUCCUUUGAGAAUCCUCAGGGAAAAAGGCUGCAUAUAUAAAAGCAAGCUACUUCCUGGUAGCCAAAGAUCAAAGUGGUAUUGGUAACAGAAACCUUCUGUUAGGCUUUGACUCAUCAUUAAGAAUUCAUCCAUUGAUUGUAAAUGAUGUUGUUUUAACAUGGUCAGGUUCUUUACCCAAUAGUACAUUUAACACUGUACAGAUUAAUCUAAAUCUCCCCAUUCCCUAGUGAAAGAUCCCCUUCUGUUCUGGUUGACGUGAUUCUCUUGGAGGAAAAAAAAGCACCACCUUCAU